rnacentral:rRNA from 1 species
ACCCAAUAGAUACCCCGGUAGUCCACGCCCUAAACGAUGUCAACUGGUUGUUGGGGAAGGUAACUUCCUUAGUAACGAAAGCUAAACGCGUGAAAGUUGACCGCCUGGGGAGUACGGCCGCAAGGUUAAAACUCAAAGGAAUUGACGGGGACCCGGCACAAGCGGUGGAUGAUGUGGAUUAAUUCGAUGCAAACGCGAAGAACCUUACCUACCCUUGACAUGUAGCGAACCCUGCUGAGAGGCGGGGGUUGCCCGAAAGGGAGCGCUAACACAGGUGCUGCAUGGCUGUCGUCAGCUCGUGUCGUGAGAUGUUUGGGGUUAAGUCCCCGCAACGAGCGCAACCCUUGUCACUAGUUGCUACGAAAGGGCACUCUAGUGAGACUGCCGGUGACAAACCGGAGGAAGGUGGGGAUGACGUCAAGUCCUCAUGGCCCUUAUGGGUAGGGCUUCACACGUCAUACAAUGGCGCAUACAGAGGGUUGCCAACCCGGCGAGGGGGUAGCCAAUCCCAGAAAGUGCGUCGUAGUCCGGAUUGUUCUCUGCAACUCGAGAGCAUGAA